CCUAUCCUCAAUUUGGCACGAGGGCCUCGUCAGGGAUAGAAGCGCAUCUCGUCAUGUCGCAAGAAUGGAUAUCGUUACACUGAAAAGAAGAGAUAUAUAGAAUUGUCUUACACUCGCCACAAGCUACAUCAGAGUCACAUCAGUACGUUACAUAAUCAUCAAGAGUAAGAGCAGGGUCCGACUACGGACGAAAAUAAACGGCAAAAGAAGAACGACGUCCAUCCUUGCUAUCCCAUGCUGCCGGCCUGGAACCCAUCCUAGAUCGAAGAAGAAGAAGAAGAAGAAGCAACUCCAAAUGAUCAAUGAACGCGCUCGCGUCAAGCAACCUUUACCUGUACCUGCAACUGGUGUUGUAGUAAUCUGUGAGCCACAGGGGACUCAGCAAUCUCAUUUCCAAAGGUAUCAAGACUAGCAAAGCUUAAUGGGUGACGUAUGGUUAAGUGGUGAGCUUGCAGCAGCGCCUAAGCAUAUAUUUGGUGGCUAACUUACGAGUACAAGAAGUAAGAGGGGAAAGAUCUACGCAUAACGGACGUGAACUACUCAUGAUCAAAAGGAUGAUCGUGAACACCUACCUACGUCAGACAUAACCCCACCGUGUCCUCGAUCGGAGAAGGAACUCACGAAGGAGACAGUCACGGUUACGCACACCGUUGGCAAGUUUUAAUUAAGUUAACUUCAAGUUAUCUAGAACCAGUGUUAAACAAAGUAUCCACGUUGCCACAUAACCGCGGGCACGGCUUUCCGAAAGAUUUAACCCUGCAGGGGUGCUCCAACUAGUCCAUCACAAAUUACCACAAGCCGCAUAGAAAUCCUCAAUCACGAAGCUCGCGAUCUCGUCGGAUUCCCUAGUGGAAAACCUCAACUCUGAGAUUACCCAAAGCAUCACCGGAAUCCCGAUGCACAAGAUAUCUCGUCAAAGGUAAAACUAAUCCAGCAAGGCCGCCCGACGUGUCGACGAUCCCGAUAGGAGUCGCGUACCUCGUUCUCAGGACACGGCGGAUGAGCUAGACGUCGGGAUCGCUAAACCUCCGGGUGACCAGAGGGGCGCCGGACAUCGCUCAGGUGGGACCAACACUCAUGAGGAGCACUGGCCCGGGGGUUGAUUAAAUUAUCCUCGGGGUCCGGAAAGUCCCUAUGCAAUUUUAUUAGGUGUUUAGGCAAAUGUAGUACCAAAGUUGGGCCCUGCCAGACCAGCUUUAAUCUAAAACGAAUUAUCAAGGGGGUCCCCAUAACAACCCCGAUCGUGUUAGGAGCGCUCAUUUAUGGAACAUAACACCGGUAGCCGAAACUAAGGGGGCAAAGGUGGAACAAAACACCAGGCUAGAAAGGCCGAGCCUUCCACCUUUUACCAAGUAUAUAGGUGCAUUAAAAUAGAAAACAUAAAAUAUGGUGAUAUAACAAGGAACCCAUGCUUUGCAUGGAAGCAAUGCACCUGCAACUAGCAACGCUAUCAACAGGGUUAAGCAAGCAGUAACAUAGCCAAUCAGUGGUUUGCUAGGUUGAACAGGUUGAUCGUUUCAUGGCAUUGUAGAGAGGCUGAUAUUUAACAGGUGGUAGGCAACGAGACGUAAACGAUAGCAACGGUAAAACUAGCAUGGCAAUGAUAGUAAUGGUAUCUGGGGAAAUGAUCAUCUUGCCUGAGAUCCCGCUUGGAAGAAGAAUGACUCCGCGAAGCAGACGAACCGACGUAGUCGAACGGCCCUCACAUCCGACACGCUUGCGGAACUCUAUCGAGACGGAGGAAACCGGAAACAAGCAUCAACACACGAUAUACACCACACGAUGCAAGACACACAUGAUGCAUGAACGGUCUAAUGCAAGGCGUGACAAUCACAACAAUCAAACACUACACAUUAAGUGAAGCUCGAUAUGCAACGAGUUGCAUAUCGACGAAACUCCACGUUGAAUUAUUUAGUUCACUCCCGUUCAGGUACACGGAUAUAUUAAAUGUUGUUAAACCUGGCACGAGGGUGAAGCAAAAAUUAAUCUACCUAGCUAGUCAUUUUAAAUGAGACCGGAAACGACAUAUAGCAUCUCCGAAAUGACCCCACGUGUUAAAUCUCAAUUCUGCCCAGAUUUGUCCUAAACACAUUUUAUAUUUGUUAAACGGAGAAACAAAGUGGAACACGUGAUUCUACUCGUCGUUCUGGUCCAUUUACAUAUAUGGCACAUCUCCAACGGAGCUACGGACAAAUAGUUACGACCUAAACCGUUUUCAACACGUCGAGACGCAAACCGAUGCAAACAACACACUAAACAGAUCUAAUUAUGCAUGAGAGUUGGUUUUUGUGAAACUACAGAAAAUUCUAAGCAACUUACGUGUGGAAAACAUUUUAAUCCGGUCCACGGUUAAAUUUAUAUGAAUUUUACAAACGGGCAUUUGAGUCUGUUCAAAAUAUAAAAAAAUGGAAUUGCUAGGACUUGAACCCN
rnacentral:lncRNA from 1 species